rnacentral:snoRNA from 1 species
UGGCCGGUGAUGAGUGAAACCUGAGUUGUACAGACACUCUUCAGUUGAAUGAAGUGCAAUGAAACACACGUGUCGCUCUCUGUCCA